rnacentral:rRNA from 1 species
UACCUGCAGCUCAAGUGGUGGCCGUUAUUAUUGGGCCUAAAACGUCCGUAGCCGGUUUAUUAAAUGCCUGGGUAAAUCGGGCCGCUUAACGGUUCGAAUUCCGGGUAGAUUGAUAGACUUGGGACUGGGAGAGGCUAGAGGUACUCCUGGGGUAGAGGUGAAAUUCUGUAAUCCUAGGGGGACCACCAGUGGCGAAAGCGUCUAGCUAGAACGGGUCUGACGGUGAGGGACGAAGCUUUGGGGCGCAAACCGGAUUAGAUACCCGGGUAGUCCAGGGUGUAAACGCUGCUUGCUUGAUGUUAGUCGGGCUCCGAGCCCGAUUAGUGUCGGAGAGAAGUUGUUAAGCAAGCUGCCUGGGAAGUACGGCCGCAAGACUGAAACUUAAAGGAAUUGGCGGGGAGCACAGCAACGGGUGGAGCGUGCGGUUU